rnacentral:rRNA from 2 species
UGAGGAAUAUUGGUCAAUGGGCGCAAGCCUGAACCAGCCAUCCCGCGUGCAGGAAGACGGCGCUAUGCGUUGUAAACUGCUUUUCCAGGGAGAGAACUUGCGCACGUGUUGCGCAAUUGACGGUACCCUGGGAAUAAGCAUCGGCUAACUCCGUGCCAGCAGCCGCGGUAAUACGGAGGAUGCGAGCGUUAUCCGGAUUCAUUGGGUUUAAAGGGUGCGUAGGCGGACUAUUAAGUCAGUGGUGAAAUCCUGCAGCUUAACUGCAGAACUGCCAUUGAUACUGAUAGCCUUGAGUUUGGUUAAGGUAGGCGGAAUGUGUAAUGUAGCGGUGAAAUGCUUAGAUAUUACACAGAACACCAAUUGCGUAGGCAGCUUACUGAGCCGACACUGACGCUGAGGCACGAAAGCGUGGGGAUCGAACAGG